UCCCCUGGAAAGGAAGAAACAGCAGAGCAGCUUGGGUCCCCACAUGAAGCUCGGGUUUCUCUCCUCUUCCAG
ensembl:miRNA Mir7027 microRNA 7027